rnacentral:lncRNA from 1 species
UGCGAUGGUCACGCUAAAGUGCGAUGGUCUACACUAAAGUACGAUGGUGUCUCACGCUAAAGUGCGUUGGUUGUUUGUUCGCUAAAGUACGAUGGUGUAUCACGCUAAAGUGUGAUAGUCCAAAGGGUAAGAUUCGAAGUAUUAAAACAUCGAGGUUUAAAAAGUCUUUUUGCAAAAACUAUUAUAUUAUAUUAUGCUUAGGUAUAACAUAUGUGAUAGGCUUUACAAUUUACCGGUAGGCGGAAGUAAUUGUUUCUAAAUUAACAAGUCCGAC